UACGGGGGGGGCAAGCGUUGUUCGGAAUUACUGGGCGUAAAGGGUUCGUAGGUGGCCAACUAAGUCAGACGUGAAAUCCCUCAGCUCAACUGGGGAACUGCGUCUGAUACUGGUUGGCUUGAGUGCAGGAGAGGAACGUGGAAUUCCAGGUGUAGCGGUGAAAUGCGUAGAUAUCUGGAGGAACACCGGUGGCGAAGGCGGCGUUCUGGACUGCAACUGACACUGAGGAACGAAAGCCAGGGGAGCAAACGGG
rnacentral:rRNA from 1 species